UACAGAGGCAGAAGCACAAGCCACGGACACAGAGGCAGAGACUCAAUCCAUAAGCCAAGAGGACAGAGCUGCAGGCCUAAACGGUGGAGCCCUGAGCCAAACAGGAUUAUUGUCAGGCCUUGAAACCUAAGGGAAUCCAGCUGGGUGAAUUUUGAAAAUCAUCAGGACAGCCCAAAAAGCUAUCAGAAGACUCCAAGAGGCCAUACCAUGACGAUUUCAGAAAAGACUUUGUGAGGUCAAAAAUACACACACUAAACCACCAAGGCAGAGCUGGAAAGGGGAGUAGAAAAGCAGAUAAAACAAGUGACCUUACAGACAGUUUUCUGCUGUCUCCUGCAGAGAGAAAUCUUUUUCCUCUCAGGUCUUCCAGAGCUCUAUUCCCUGUCUUCAAGGGGGUCAUGGGAGAAAGAAGCAAUCAAGAGAAGAAAUAAACCACGGAGAAUAGGAAUCAAUAUUUACCUUUAAAAAUCUAAAUAAAGGUAAUAGAAUUUUCAGGUUCAUCCCUGGCAUAGACAU
rnacentral:lncRNA from 1 species